rnacentral:misc_RNA from 1 species
GAUGAAGAACGUAGUGAAAUGCGAUAAUUAAUGUGAAUUGCAGAAUUCAGUGAAUCAUCGAGUCUUUGAACGCACAUUGCGCCCCCUGGUAUUCCGGGGGGCAUGCCUGUCCGAGCGUCAUUGCUGCCCUCAAGCACGGCUUGUGUGUUGGGCUUCCGUCCCUGGCAACGGGGACGGGCCCAAAAGGCAGUGGCGGCACCAUGUCUGGUCCUCGAGCGUAUGGGGCUUUGUCACCCGCUCCCGUAGGUCCAGCUGGCAGCUAGCCUCGCAACCAAUCUUUUUAACCAGGUUGACCUCGGUUCAGGUAGGGAUACCCGCUGAACUUAAGCAUAUCAAUAAGCGGAGGA